GGCGCACGGGUGAGUAACGCGUGGGUAAUCUACCUUUGGGUCAGGGAUAACACUCCGAAAGGAGUGCUAAUACCUGAUACGAUCCGGGUUUCAAAAGGAACCUGCAUGAAAGGUGACCUCUUCCUUGAAAGUUGCCGCUCGAAGAUGAGCCCGCGUCCCAUUAGCUUGUUGGUGGGGUAAUGGCCUACCAAGGCAAAGAUGGGUAGCUGGUCUGAGAGGAUGAUCAGCCACACUGGAACUGAGACACGGUCCAGACUCCUACGGGAGGCAGCAGUGGGGAAUAUUGCGCAAUGGGGGAAACCCUGACGCAGCAACGCCGCGUGAGUGAUGAAGGCCUUCGGGUCGUAAAGCUCUGUCAGGUGGGAAGAACAAGGGGGUCUCCAAUAAAGAAACCCUUUGACGGUACCACCAGAGGAAGCACCGGCUAACUCCGUACCAGCAGCCGCGGUAAUACGGAGGGUGCAAGCGUUGUUCGGAAUCACUGGGCGUAAAGCGCGUGCAGGCGGCCUAGUAAGUCA
rnacentral:rRNA from 1 species